GACGAACGCGGCGGCGUGCCUAAUACAUGCAAGUGGGACGCAAGGGAACACACUGCGCUUGCACACCGUGUUUUCUUGAGUCGCGAACGGGUGAGUAACGCGUAGGUAACCUGCCUAUUAGCGGGGGAUAACUAUUGGAAACGAUAGCUAAUACCGCAUAAUAUUAAUUAUUGCAUGAUAAUUGAUUGAAAGAUGCAAGCGCAUCACUAGUAGAUGGACCUGCGUUGUAUUAGCUAGUUGGUAAGGUAAGAGCUUACCAAGGCGACGAUACAUAGCCGACCUGAGAGGGUGAUCGGCCACACUGGGACUGAGACACGGCCCAGACUCCUACGGGAGGCAGCAGUAGGGAAUCUUCGGCAAUGGACGAAAGUCUGACCGAGCAACGCCGCGUGAGUGAAGAAGGUUUUCGGAUCGUAAAGCUCUGUUGUAAGUCAAGAACGUGUGUGAGAGUGGAAAGUUCACACAGUGACGGAGCUACCAG
rnacentral:rRNA from 1 species